UUUCGCUACCCACUGAGUCUCAGCCCAGAUGACUGCAGGGGCGUUCAACACCUAUAUGGCCAGCCCUGGCCCACUGUCACCUCCAGGACCCCAGCCCUGGGCCCCCAGGCUGGGAUAGACACCAAUGAGAUUGCACCGCUGGAGACGCCCCGCCAGAUGCCUGUGAGGCCUCCUUUGACGCGGUCUCCACCAUCCGAGGCGAGCUCUUUUUCUUCAAAGCGGGCUUUGUGUGGCGCCUCCGUGGGGGCCAGCUGCAGCCCGGCUACCCAGCAUUGGCCUCUCGCCACUGGCAGGGACUGCCCAGCCCUGUGGACGCUGCCUUCGAGGAUGCCCAGGGCCACAUUUGGUUCUUCCAAGGUGCUCAGUACUGGGUGUACGACGGUGAAAAGCCAGUCCUGGGCCCCGCACCCCUCACCGAGCUGGGCCUGGUGAGGUUCCCGGUCCAUGCUGCCUUGGUCUGGGGUCCCGAGAAGAACAAGAUCUACUUCUUCCGAGGCAGGGACUACUGGCGUUUCCACCCCAGCACCCGGCGUGUAGACAGUCCCGUGCCCCGCAGGGCCACUGACUGGAGAGGGGUGCCCUCUGAGAUCGACGCUGCCUUCCAGGAUGCUGAUGGUGCGUUGGGGGUGAGGCAGCUGGUGGGAGGUGGGCACAGCAGCCGCUUCUCCCACCUGGUGGUGGCUGGGCUCCCACAUGCCUGCCACAGGAAGUCUGGCUCUUCAUCACAGGUCCUUUGUCCAGAGCCAUCUGCCCUCCUCUC
rnacentral:lncRNA from 1 species